rnacentral:lncRNA from 1 species
AUGGAGCCAGCCACAGGCGGACACUCCCAGGAAGGAGGGAUUGUGUGAGGUCAGGCUGCCAGGAUGACGCCGAGACAAGAUCGUGAGUGAAAUCAAAUGGUGAUAACAGAGCUCAGGUCUCUGCCUGUGGGCCUUAGCCAGGGCCUAGCGCAGCCUCCAUGUAGAGCCGGAAGGGGCCUGCAGGGACCAUCCAAUCAACUCCUCACUAUUCAGUUGGGGAAACUGAAGCCCACAGGGAGGUGUCUUGCCCCUGUCAGAGUUAAUGACAGAGCCGGGACUAACACUUGGAUCUCUGGCCUCCCAGUCCUGGGCUUCCACCCCAUCUCAGGCCUCUGCCCCUCCUGGGUAGAUGAAAUCUCCCAUUUUUAAAAAAAGACCACUCCACCCAGGCAGGUGUCACAGCCUUCCUCACAUCCCCAAAUCGGGAUCCAACAAUUCUUCAAUCAACAACCGUUCCUGGAGAGUCCACCAUAAGCAAGUCUCCCUGGAAACACAAGCUGUUCGACAGAUUUCUGCCCCCAAGAAGCCACAGUCUGAUGGUGGAGGGGCCUAUAGAGGACAGACAGGCGAUACUGCUGGCGCUUCAGCGUAUUUGCCCCUGUGUGCUCGGAGCGCAGCAGGCGCCCAGCGCGCGGAACGGGCACCAGUUAUUGCCACCCUCAAAGCCAGUGGGCGAAGACGCCGGCGGGUCAGGGAGACGAGAAAAGGGGGCCUUUUCCCCGUCCAUGCUCUGCGAACUGCUCGUCAACGCGCCGGGCGGGGCCGC